rnacentral:rRNA from 1 species
UGGGGAAUAUUGGACAAUGGGCGAAAGCCUGAUCCAGCAAUGCCGCGUGAGUGAUGAAGGCCUUAGGGUUGUAAAGCUCUUUUACCCGGGAUGAUAACGACAGUACCGGGAGAAUAAGCUCCGGCUAACUUCGUGCCAGCAGCCGCGGUAAUACGAGGGGAGCUAGCGUUAUUCGGAAUUACUGGGCGUAAAGCGCACGUAGGCGGCUUUGUAAGUUAGAGGUGAAAGCCCGGGGCUCAACUCCGGAAUUGCCUUUAAGACUGCAUCGCUUGAAUCCGGGAGAGGUGAGUGGAAUUCCGAGUGUAGAGGUGAAAUUCGUAGAUAUUCGGAAGAACACCAGUGGCGAAGGCGGAUCACUGGACUGGUAUUGACGCUGAGGUGCGAAAGCGUGGGAAGCAAACA